AGUGAACGCUGGCGGUAGGCCUAACACAUGCAAGUCGAACGGCAGCACAGUAAGAUCUUGCUCUUACGGGUGGCGAGUGGCGGACGGGUGAGGAAUACAUCGGAAUCUACUUUUUCGGGGGGGAUAACGUAGGGAAACUUACGCUAAUACCGCAUACUACCUACGGGUGAAAGCAGGGGAUCUUCGGACCUUGCGCGAUUGAAUUAGCCGAUGUCGGAUUAGCUAGUUGGCGGGGUAAAGGCCCACCAAGGCGACGAUCCGUAGCUGGUCUGAGAGGAUGAUCAGCCACACUGGAACUGAGACACGGUCCAGACUCCUACGGGAGGCAGCAGUGGGGAAUAUUGGACAAUGGGCGCAAGCCUGAUCCAGCCAUACCGCGUGGGUGAAGAAGGCCUUCGGGUUGUAAAGCCCUUUUGUUGGGAAAGAAAAGCAGCAGGUUAAUACCCCGCUGUUCUGACGGUACCCAAAGAAUAAGCACCGGCUAACUUCGUG
rnacentral:rRNA from 1 species